AGGAGAAAAGGAAACUGCUGUUGAACACGGGAUGCCUGGGAUUUCUGUUUCACAUUAGACUUUUUUAAAUAUUUGAACUCUGCUUUGUGACGGAACAAAUUAGAGCUGAAACCACAGGGCGGCUCUUCUGGAGUACUCUGAGAAAUGUGAAACUCAUGCUGUGUGAAUGUCUUAUUCAUGUGCAAACUGUACCAAUUCAGGAUAACAACCAGUGGGAAUAAAGCACUACCUGCAGACCUAUAAACAUAAAGGGAAAAGAAAACUGGAAAAAAAAAAGGACCAUGUUGAAUGUGGACCUUAUUCCCCAGUCUUACUCUGAAGAAAAAAGAGCUACAAAGAAUAAUGACCCAUG